rnacentral:rRNA from 1 species
UAGAGUUUGAUCCUGGCUCAGAUUGAACGCUGGCGGCAGGCCUAACACAUGCAAGUCGAGCGGUAACAGGAAGAAAGCUUGCUUUCUUUGCUGACGAGCGGCGGACGGGUGAGUAAUGCCUAGGGAUCUGCCCAGUCGUGGGGGAUAACAGUUGGAAACGACUGCUAAUACCGCAUACGCCCUACGGGGGAAAGGAGGGGACCUUCGGGCCUUCCGCGAUUGGAUGAACCUAGGUGGGAUUAGCUAGUUGGUGAGGUAAUGGCUCACCAAGGCAACGAUCCCUAGCUGGUCUGAGAGGAUGAUCAGCCACACUGGAACUGAGACACGGUCCAGACUCCUACGGGAGGCAGCAGUGGGGAAUAUUGCACAAUGGGCGAAAGCCUGAUGCAGCCAUGCCGCGUGUGUGAAGAAGGCCUUCGGGUUGUAAAGCACUUUCAGCGAGGAGGAAAGGUUAAUAGUUAAUAACUGUUAGCUGUGACGUUACUCGCAGAAGAAGCACCGGCUAACUUCGUGCCAGCAGCCGCGGUAAUACGAGGGGUGCAAGCGUUAAUCGGAAUUACUGGGCGUAAAGCGUACGCAGGCGGUUUGUUAAGCGAGAUGUGAAAGCCCCGGGCUCAACCUGGGAACUGCAUUUCGAACUGGCAAACUAGAGUACUGUAGAGGGGGGUAGAAUUUCA